rnacentral:misc_RNA from 1 species
UGGUUCUGGCAUCGAUGAAGAACGCAGCGAAAUGCGAUAAGUAAUGUGAAUUGCAGAAUUCAGUGAAUCAUCGAAUCUUUGAACGCACAUUGCGCCCACUAGUAUUCUGGUGGGCAUGCCUGUUCGAGCGUCAUUAAUUCCACUCAAGCCUAGUGCUUGGAAUUGGGAGAAUAGCUGCCCUGCAGCUACCUCCUCAAAGAUAACGGCGGAGUUGUGUCAUCCUCUGAGCUUAGUAAUUACUUCCUAGCUUCUGAAGACUCACAUCCCCUGCCGCUAAACCCCAUCUUUUUAAUGGUUGACCUCGGAUCAGGUAGGAAUACCCGCUGA